AUGGCCAUGGAGCGGAGGCCGCGCCAUUGUCACGAGGAGUUCCAUGUCCGAGUCGUCGGCAAGGUGCGUCAUCAUCGACAACAUGGAGACGAGUCACUGGUGAGUUGCAUCACCAGCGACAAACAUGGAGGCGGGUCACCGGCGAGUUGCGGCACCGGUGGCAAACAUGCGGCAGCGAGCAUGCCAUGGCGGUGGGCUCAUGGUGAAGGCGCAAGAGUUGUGGCUCUCAUCGAGGCCAACGACGAUGGCGGCAAUCGGCGUGACAAGAUGGCAUUGGCGGCCGUCUGCGUGUUGCAUCGACGACGUCAACAAUCAUUGGCUUCAAGAGAGAAAUAA
rnacentral:rRNA from 1 species